GACGAACGCUGGCGGCGUGCCUAAUACAUGCAAGUAGAACGCUGAAGGAGGAGCUUGCUUCUCUGGCUGAGUUGCGAACGGGUGAGUAACGCGUAGGUAACCUGCCUGGUAGUGGGGGAUAACUAUUGGAAACGAUAGCUAAUACCGCAUAAUAGCAGUUGUUGCAUGAUAACUGUUUGAAAGGUGCAAUUGCACCGCUACCAGAUGGACCUGCGUUGUAUUAGCUAGUUGGUGGGGUAACGGCUCACCAAGGCGACGAUACAUAGCCGACCUGAGAGGGUGAUCGGCCACACUGGGACUGAGACACGGCCCAGACUCCUACGGGAGGCAGCAGUAGGGAAACUUCGGCAAUGGACGGAAGGCUGACCGGGCAACGCCGCGUGAGUGAAGAAGGGUUUCGGAUCGUAAAGCUCUGUUGUAAGGGAAGAACGAGUGUGGGAGUGGAAAGUUCACACUGUGACGGUAGCUUACCAGAAAGGGACGGCUAACUACGUG
rnacentral:rRNA from 1 species